GGGGGGGGGGGGGGGGGGGGGGGGGGGGGGGGGGGCGGGCGGGGGGGGGGGGGGGGGGGGGGGGGCUCGAGUGGCGAACGGGGGGGUAACGCGUGAGUAACCUGCCCUUGACUUUGGGAUAACGUCAGGAAACUGGGGCUAAUACCGGAUAGGAGCUCCGGCUGCAUGGUGGGGGUUGGAAAGUUUCGGCGGUUGGGGAUGGACUCGCGGCUUAUCAGCUUGUUGGUGGGGUAGUGGCUUACCAAGGCUUUGACGGGUAGCCGGCCUGAGAGGGUGACCGGCCACAUUGGGACUGAGAUACGGCCCAGACUCCUACGGGAGGCAGCAGUGGGGAAUAUUGCACAAUGGGCGGAAGCCUGAUGCAGCAACGCCGCGUGCGGGAUGACGGCCUUCGGGUUGUAAACCGCUUUCGCCUGUGACGAAGCGUGAGUGACGGUAAUGGGUAAAGAAGCACCGGCUAACUACGUG
rnacentral:rRNA from 1 species